UUUUUUUAUGUACAAGGCCAUUACUUGCAAAUGACCUACAAACUGGAAUGUUGCAAUAGGAUGAAGUGGAAUAUUUUCAUAUCUGGAUUGACUCUGUACUAGACUAUGAACUGAAUCACACCUGAAGAGAAAUGAGAGCUCCUGUGCAGAUGGACUUUGCUAAAGAUGAAGUGACAAGGAACAUCAGAGGAUUUUGGUUCUAACUUGUUAGUGCAUCUUCUGUUUGGGUUCCUUGUGAGUUCAGCUCUUUUAUCUGGUUUUCAGUUCACACACAAAAGAGCCCUACUUUGAAACAUUUCAGCUGAGAGCCACAUGCUGUGCACCUGUCUCAGAGCAAAUAUGCCUCCUGAGCCUGUGUUGUACAAGACAGAGCUGUUGACAAAGCUAGCACCACACUGACAGUCCAGGAAAGAGCAGGGCAGGACCAGCUUUUACUCCUGGGCAGAAAAGCAGAUACUUUCUAGUAUACAGAGAAAUGAGGUUCAGUGAAUUGAGGAAACAGUACAAAGCAGGAAGUGUGGCUUCUAAGGCUCUUUGUGCCAUCAAAUUUUCAAAAACCCUGUAAAAUAAGGCAAGAUCUUCUGUUAGUGCAUAUUGCCAUAAUUGGUGUAAUUUAGAAUAUCUCUACUAUUUUCACUUAAGCUGAGGAUUUAGCACAUUUUGACAGUCUCAGUGACAGAAUAUGUUAUAGAUACUUGCUUGACAGAAUUUAUACAAUUUAGAAUUGGCUUGCUUGAUUAAUUCUUUGUGCUUGUGCCUGCCCCCUCCACCUACCAUGCUGAGGGCUCUGUCAUUUAGCAUGACUCCAUUAUAUUCAAUCGAGCAGAGGCUGCAGGAAGCCAGACAUAUAUGUCCUAGGGCCAUACAAGAGCUAUUUAGCUGGAUGUACUCUGCAAAGCCAGAGGCACUCAAGAAUCUACAGAAACACAUUAGUGACAUAAUACUUUGUGCCUGCACCAUGUUAUGUAAAUGUUCAUUGUGAGGAAGUGUAUGGUGUUUGUUCUCAGCUGGUUGUACUGUUGUAUGUGUAUAGUAGGUUGCUGUUGUUCGCAAUAAUUUACAGCUAAUAGUGUUGGCAGUGUUCUUGACAAAGUUUAAAACGUGUUUAACUGCUGCUGUACUCUUACCAUGAUUUUUUACUUUAUAGGACAGCUUCCUUAAUUUUCUGUAUGCCACUAGAGAGAAGAAUGGAAGGAGUUGUUUGAGGUAUACAAAAUUAAGGGAUGGGCACACAUCCAGGGAAUCUCAGAGGGAAAUAUGGGCAGUAUGCCAUACACUGAACUUGCUACACACGCGCACAUCUGAUCUAGCACACAUACGCUAUGCAGAUGGUUAGCAAUUGCACAGAUCAACUCCACAAGACAUGUCCAGAUCCCACUUAUCCUGGGGGUCUGGAAAUCCUGGUCAUAUGGCCAGCCUGUGAUUUCUCUCCUCUUUCUCCUUCCAGUCCUGAAAUUAUGUCUGAGGAGGGAGGAGAAGAAAAAGAGGACACGCUGAGGAAGAAAGACAUACCAGGCUCUUGUUACCAUCAAACACACUGAAAAUGGCUAGGUUACCAUAAACUAAGGAGCUUCAGGACCUCAGCUGAGCUAUAAUCUACUACUGUGUGUGUAUUUUUAGUUUGCUGUUGCAGUGUAAAAUGUAUUCACUUCACUUAAGCUAUGUCAUAAUAACUUACUGUGAAUACUGAAAUAAAAUGCUAAUUCGAUACAGUUGGAAGAAAGCACUUGGCAAAUUACUGGAACACCACUGAUGGCUGGUAACUCAUUUGCCUAUGGUAGCUUGAUCAGUUCUGAUCAAAUACUUUUUCUCUUAAUCUGCCUGCUCUUUAUUAAUGGGCCU